rnacentral:rRNA from 1 species
UGGGGAAUUUUGGACAAUGGGCGAAAGCCUGAUCCAGCAAUGCCGCGUGUGUGAAGAAGGCCUUCGGGUUGUAAAGCACUUUUGUCCGGAAAGAAAUCCUUGGCUCUAAUACAGUCGGGGGAUGACGGUACCGGAAGAAUAAGCACCGGCUAACUACGUGCCAGCAGCCGCGGUAAUACGUAGGGUGCAAGCGUUAAUCGGAAUUACUGGGCGUAAAGCGUGCGCAGGCGGUUUGCUAAGACCGAUGUGAAAUCCCGGGCUCAACCUGGGAACUGCAUUGGUGACUGGCAGGCUAGAGUAUGGCAGAGGGGGGUAGAAUUCCACGUGUAGCAGUGAAAUGCGUAGAGAUGUGGAGGAAUACCGAUGGCGAAGGCAGCCCCUGGGCCAAUACUGACGCUCAUGCACGAAAGCGUGGGGGAGCAAACAGGAUUAGAUACCCUGGUAGUCCACGCCCUAAACGAUGUCAACUAGUUGUUGGGGACUUCAUUUCCUUAGUAACGUAGCUAACGCGUGAAGUUGACCGCCUGGGGAGUA